rnacentral:rRNA from 1 species
AUUGAACGCUGGCGGCAGGCCUAACACAUGCAAGUCGAGCGGGUGAAGGGAGCUUGCUCCUGGAUUCAGCGGCGGACGGGUGAGUAAUGCCUAGGAAUCUGCCUGGUAGUGGGGGAUAACGUCCGGAAACGGGCGCUAAUACCGCAUACGUCCUGAGGGAGAAAGUGGGGGAUCUUCGGACCUCACGCUAUCAGAUGAGCCUAGGUCGGAUUAGCUAGUUGGUGGGGUAAAGGCCUACCAAGGCGACGAUCCGUAACUGGCCUGAGAGGAUGAUCAGUCACACUGGAACUGAGACACGGUCCAGACUCCUACGGGAGGCAGCAGUGGGGAAUAUUGGACAAUGGGCGAAAGCCUGAUCCAGCCAUGCCGCGUGUGUGAAGAAGGUCUUCGGAUUGUAAAGCACUUUAAGUUGGGAGGAAGGGCAGUAAGUUAAUACCUUGCUGUUUUGACGUUACCAACAGAAUAAGCACCGGCUAACUUCGUG